rnacentral:rRNA from 1 species
GCCUAAUACAUGCAAGUCGAGCGAAUGGAUUGAGAGCUUGCUCUCAAGAAGUUAGCGGCGGACGGGUGAGUAACACGUGGGUAACCUGCCCAUAAGACUGGGAUAACUCCGGGAAACCGGGGCUAAUACCGGAUAACAUUUUGAACUGCAUGGUUCGAAAUUGAAAGGCGGCUUCGGCUGUCACUUAUGGAUGGACCCGCGUCGCAUUAGCUAGUUGGUGAGGUAACGGCUCACCAAGGCAACGAUGCGUAGCCGACCUGAGAGGGUGAUCGGCCACACUGGGACUGAGACACGGCCCAGACUCCUACGGGAGGCAGCAGUAGGGAAUCUUCCGCAAUGGACGAAAGUCUGACGGAGCAACGCCGCGUGAGUGAUGAAGGCUUUCGGGUCGUAAAACUCUGUUGUUAGGGAAGAACAAGUGCUAGUUGAAUAAGCUGGCACCUUGACGGUACCUAACCAGAAAGCCACGGCUAACUACGUGCCAGCAGCCGCGGUAAUACGUAGGUGGCAAGCGUUAUCCGGAAUUAUUGGGCGUAAAGCGCGCGCAGGUGGUUUCUUAA